AAAUAGGAUUUAGGAUUAAAAUCUUAAAUAUGUCAAUAAAUAAAUUAAUAGAUUAUAAGAAAUUAAUAUAAACGGGUUAUUCAUGUCUGUUUACAAAUAAUAUUUUGUUUAUUUAAAGUGUGGUGAAUGUGCCUUUCUGAAAGUGUGAAAGAUUCGGGUGACAUUGGGAGUUCACGUGAUGUAACGUAGCGUUACCAAGGAGACGCCGUCAAGGUGUGCGUGCUGUCGUGUUUUUCUCUCUCUGCCGGACCAACGUCAAGGUGGCGUCAUGCUAACCUGUUGCUGCAGAUAUCACUGUUCUGUGUAAGAGAGCCAAAUAUUCCAACGUCUUCCCAACGUUAAUUUUAUCGUCGGGCAGAGAGCGAAGCUUUUCUUCUUGAUUAGCGGACCGUGUGUUUUGUGACAGACGAAGGAGAACUGAAACCUGGACUGAUGAGAGCUGUGUUCUGCCUUGUACCCGGAGUGUGUGUAUAUGUGAUGCUUGAGCCUCUGGCCGGGUCUUAUUUUCUUUGGUUGGAUUUCCGGGUUGAGAUCUGCAUGAAGAUGACUUCUUCUUCUUCCGCUGGGAUUUCCCCCAUUCUUUAGAGGUAGAGGGGAACCUCAGUGGCAGUGGCGAGCCGCCCAAACAGAGACUGUGAUUAUUCAGUGAUUGAGUUUAUUGAGAACUGUGUUGAUAUCUCAUGUUAUGUGGACAAUUUAAAUUUGUUUUUUUCUUAUUCUCAAUUUUAUUUCUUUACUCAACACAAUAUAACAUACUUAAAACUUACCUGUUGGUUGUGUGAAUCCUUUACUCUCACUCAAUGCAAUAUUGCUAAUACCCCUUUCUCCUGUAGCGAUCUAGACUUCUGAUUUUCUGGUCCACAAGGUAAUUAAUGCACUAAUAAAUAAACAUACCUGUA